AAAGAAGGCCUAUCAGUAUCCUGAGUAGGGCGGGACACGUGAAAUCCCGUUUGAAUCCGCGAGGACCAUCUCGCAAGGCUAAAUACUAACCAGUGACCGAUAGUGAACCAGUACCGUGAGGGAAAGGUGAAAAGAACCCCGGGAGGGGAGUGAAAGAGAACCUGAAACCGUGUGCCUACAAGUAGUCAGAGCCCGUUAACGGGUAAUGGCGUGCCUUUUGUAGAAUGAACCGGC
rnacentral:rRNA from 1 species